ensembl:lncRNA
GUGGAGAAUCGAAACGGGAUGCGACGUCACGGACAACGCCCCGCCCACCGGCCGCCACAGCGGGCUGGUCCGAGCCAGAGGUCGCGACGGAUCGCUGGCUUCCAGUUCUCUGGUGACGUGCGAACCCGUUCGCUCAGGCACUGGCUCCGGCUGCUUGGAGAGCUUCCCGUGACGUGGUGGUGGUGGUGGUGGACGCAGGCGUGCGGCUGUCCCUGGGACCACCACCCCAUUCUUGGAAUGCUCUGGCUUCUGGGUUUGAAGUAGAAACCCCAGGGCCGACGCCGGGCCCUGCCUCCACCGCCCAGCGGCCAGAGCUCAGGUCAUCGCAGAUUCCCUCCCCUUCACAGCCCUUCCUGACAGCCCCACCACCUGGCGCCUCCGGUGUCAAGGUGUGAGUGUACCCGGGGUCCACUGCACAGGCACGUGAGGCCUCCCCUGGCCGUCUGGAGGGCUUGGGGCUACCGCUGCACCCGCGCUUUUACCCCGCCAGUCUCACCCAGAGUGGACCUUUGGCGGGGGCGCACCAGUGAAAAGCAGGGGUUGUCGGAGCAGAGUGUCCCGAGCUCCGCGCCGCUUCCGAAUGUGGCAAACCAUUGCCGAAUCAGUCCCACUUAGGCCCGUAUGGCCUCUGUCCAUCACCCUGGAGCAGGUCUUUGUCGGAGGUCAGACCCUUAACCUUGGAGGAGGCCGGUGCCUUCGGAAGGUUUCGCCUUCAGGCUGUCAAAAGACUGAGAGGCAAAGGCGCCAUCUCCUGGAAUAUUCUAGAAGCUCAGCUAGCGGUCCGAGUGGGCAGCGGUUAACGACUAUAUGGGCUUUCUUUGACAGGAUGUGUAAAGAGAGAACCAUCGAGGAGGCUCUCACCACCAGCCAAGGGAGAAGAUGUCCCAGCUCUGGACCCAGGACAUGACAAAACCCCAGUUUAGCUGCUCUGAAGGAUUCCACUAUGGGCAAGGAUGUUUUCAUUUGCAUGUUUAUAUAUUUUAAAAUAUAAUUGUGGUCUCAUGAAUUUUACAAGUUGAAAUUACAUUUACUGUAAUUUUAAAAUGCAGUUCUAUUCAGGCAAGAGGUAGGAAAUAUAUUUUUUAAAUCGGGAUUUAAAUUGACAUUUGUCAGUUCAAAUUUGGCUUAUAGGGUUUUAUUUAAUUCUUUUGAUUUUUAUACUCAUCUCUUAAAAUGAAAAUUUUACUUUAUGUGGAUAAUCAUUUGUUUUGGCUGUUUAAUGUACAUAAAACAACUUCACAGUAACAAUGCCAGCAUUACUAUUAGCAAUAGAACCACUGAAUUUGGAACCCUUUUUGAUUUAAGAAUAUAUCCUUCCAAAGGUUUUCAGCAAGAAUACAAUAUUCUAGCAUGAUCUAAAGUAAUUCUUUCUUCUAUCUGGUUAUAUUAAGUUUAUUAUUAGUAUAAUAUU